rnacentral:rRNA from 1 species
GGCCUACCAUGGUGGUAACGGGUAACGGGGUGUUAGGGCACGACACCGGAGAGGGAGCCUGAGAAACGGCUACCACAUCCAAGGAUGGCAGCAGGCGCGCAAAUUACCCAAUCCCGACACGGGGAGGUAGUGACAAUAAAUAACAAUACGGGGUUCUUUCGGAUCUCGUAAUUGGAAUGAGUACAAUUUAAAUCUCUUAACGAGGAACAAUUGGAGGGCAAGUCUGGUGCCAGCAGCCGCGGUAAUUCCAGCUCCAAUAGCGUAUAUUAAAGUUGUUGCAGUUAAAAAGCUCGUAGUUGAAUUUCGGGAUCAAUGUUUCGGUCAUGCCGUUGGUAUGUACUGAUAUUAUUGAUUUCUCACCUUCUAAAGAACCGUAAUGCCAUUAAUUUGGUGUCACGGGGAAUUAGGACUGUUACCUUGAAAAAAUUAGAGUGUUUAAAGCAGGCUCACGCUUGAAUACAUUAGCAUGGAAUAAUGAAAUAGGACAUCCGAUUCUAUUUUGUUGGUUUCUAGGAUCGAUGUAAUGAUUAAUAGGGAUAGUUGGGGGCAUUAGUAUUCAAUUGUCAGAGGUGAAAUUCUUGGAUUUAUUGAAGACUAACUACUGCGAAAGCAUUUGCCAAGGAUGUUUUCAUUAAUCAAGAACGAAAGUUAGGGGAUCGAAGACGAUCAGAUACCGUCGUAGUCUUAACCAUAAACUAUGCCGACUAGGGAUCGGAUGAUGUUAAUUUUUUAAUGACUCAUUCGGCGCCUUAAG